CUCUCGACUCUAAUCUCCAGCAUCUGCAGUGCUCACUUUCGCCUUAUCUAUUUAACUUGUCCUCUUUAACCUCUGCACCAGCCUCAUCUUUCUCUCCUCUCUGGGUCCCAACUCCACCAGACUAGUUUAAACCCUCCCGAGUAACAAAUCUCCCUUCCAGGAUAUUGGCACCCCUCCAGUUCAGGUCUAACAUGUCCCUGUUUGUGAACACCCGAAUCCCUGCUCCAGCUCCUCGGUCACACACUCAUCUGCCCUACCUGUCCUGAAUCUGAGUUAAUAGUAGUGUGCCAAGUGUUGAAAUGGAGGUUUUAAAAGGUAGUCAGAGCUAGUUUUCAAAUGGCGACAAUCGCUUUAUAAAGAGAAUUUGAGGCUGUUCCUACUCUCACUAGCACAUGGCUACUACCAGAGAUUACUACCCUUCAGGUCCUGUUUUGUUAACCUCCAGCCUAACUCUGCAGGACCUCAUCCCUUUUUUCUCCCUGUGUCAGUGAUACCAAUGUGUACAACCACCUCCAGCUGCUCAUGCUCCCCUUUGAGAAUUUGCUAUAACUGCUCUGGGGUGUCCUUAACCCUGACACUAAGGAGGCAACACACCACCUUGAAGUUUUUCUCAUGGCCUUUGAAAUGCCCCUGACUGAACAGCCCCCUAUCACAUUGCGUACUUGGACUUUGCCAUAGAGCAGAGCCGGUCAGGGUGACAAAGACCUGGCUGCUGCUGCUAUUUCCACCCUAGAGGCUAUCCCCCCAAUAGUAUCCAAAACAGUGUCCUUGUUUGAGAGGGGAAUAGCCACAGGAGACUCCUGCAGUACCUGCCUACCCCUCCUGGCAGUCAGCCAUCUAUCUCACUGUAUGUGCAGUGUGAACACCUCCCUCAGUCUAUCACACUAUCUGCCCACUGUAUGCUCCUCAGUGUCUCCAACUGCUACUCCAACUGAUCCAUGUGAUCUGAGAGGAGCUGCAGCCAGACACACUUCCUGCAGACACCAUAGUCACCAGGGACAUUCUCUGCCCCCUUAACAACCAAAGGACUUCAGGAAAGAAAAGAGAUUUUACCCUUACCUUGGUGCCGCUCAGACUCCUCCUGCUACUCACAAAGGCCUGCUCUUAGAUUGAACCAGCAGCACUCGACCACAAAGCAGCCCCUUAUAGAAACAGCUGGAAAUAAGAGACGGUAAGGCCUCCCUUAUCCACUUGCCUAAGCUCUCACACUUAGCUCAAGUUCCACACUUCACACAACUCCUAGCAUUUGUACAGUCAUGCUGGUCUCACUUAAAAGUCACAGCCUACAGCGACCGCUUCAGAAAAAAAUUGUUUCAUUCACAUCCUGUGCCGAAGUAAAUAUGUAAUACUGUUUGAUAUAUCACAUGAAACCUUUCAGCAUCGUGCAGAAACAAAAGAAUGAAAAAGCCACUAAGAUCACUUGCAAACAGACAUGGGCAAGAAGCACUUCCUUCGACAGAAUGUCAACACAAAUGAGUGAAAACAAGUUGUUCCCCUGGCCGUGUUGAUUUCUGAUUGAAAAUAUAAACAUGGGCUUCCAGGAAAACGGGCAUUGAUGUUGGAGUAAACAGCUAGAGUUUUAGAUUUAUUUCUGACUCUUUCAUGGUGAAUGGGAUGUCUGACGUGGCCAGCCUUCUGUUACAUCCAUAAUUUCCCAAGAGGAGGCCUUCAGAGCAAUAGAUGGACAAAAGGUGAUGGUGCUGCGACAGCAACUUGCCAGGAAAGGGAAGUCGAGGGAUUGGUAAGGUACAAGACUAAUAUCGGCAGGGUUAAGGAAGAGUGAUGAUGGAUUCCAGAUGGAGUGAACUGCUAACAAUGUCAGCUAAAAUGGAGAUCAAAGCUGUUCAAAACCCAAAUUGAGCCGCUGUGCUCUUAGUGUACAACCGAGAUGUAUCUAUCCAGAUACGAAGCCAAGAAUAGUGAGCCUCCAGAGCACAGUACCAUCCACUCCACCUCCCCAGUGUCUGACAUACAGUAAUAGAGGGAUGGAAACCUUAGAGAAGCUACAGUGAGACCGAAUGGAUGAGAAUAGCAUGGAAUGAAAAUAUUUCUAAUAACAUAAUAGAAAGACAUUAAUUAUUUUUUUUUAAAAAAAAGACCAUUUCGUCAAAGCAAGUUUCAGAAUUUGUUUAUUUUGCAUUUGUUUUCCAUUUUCUGAGCAGCUGAGAGACAGAGCUGUGAAAGUCGAGCAGAGACUUUGCCUUCCAUUUCCCAGGCCAUUCUGCAGGACGUGCACACUGUCUGUGCUCCUUCUAUCCUCUACUGCUGUUUGGACGGUAAGUUAAACCCCCAGCAACUUAUGGUAACACCCAGAUCCUGGAAAUAAAUUUUACCUCCAUUGGCAGGAGCCAUUGGGACCCUAAGCAGAUCUCAGUUAACGAAUCGUAUAAUUGAUCUAAAUGGAGACGCCAUCGUAUUUUUGAACUGCUCUCGAAAUUUGGUCUGAGUCACCCCAUAAAUAAAGGUAUUUGUGCAGCAACUUGAAAUCCGCAACAUAUAUCCAACUUUCCGAAAGACAUACUCAGAACUGUUGUAAUCUGCAGGAUCUUUCCCUGUUAUAAAAUAAUAUAAAAAUUCUAUGACAUGUGUUAGCCACAGAAGUAUGAAACUGCCGGAUAUGGUGAAGAGUAAGAUAGCUGACUUCCUUCUGCUCUCUAUCUCUGGGUCACUUUGGCUCUCUCCCUUAGUCUGAGUCCUCAGUCUCUUUCGGACUAAACUGGCCACUAAGAUGUGUCUGACUGUCAGAGCAUUCAGCAAUAGAAUUAAUACGAAUGGAAUCAAUGGAGUUAAAAUCUUAUCAAACCAAUCAAAACCCACCCAUGCAGGUUCUGUAAAAUAGCUUGCCUUGAUGCGACAGUCCCAUGGUAAAUUAUUAAUUAUCCAGACGGGCUUUACAGUAAAAUAGAAGGGAAUGGUUUUCAAACAGAGUAGAACACAGGCUGUUGAUAGAAUCAAAGCAGCAGUUUUCUCCGUGCAAAACCUCUUUUUCAGUUUCAGGCAGCAAAUGGCUACAAAUCGAUCAAAGGAGAAAGUGACUGUGAACCAGACGGAACAAUCAGCAGUUGAACGAGUUAGAACAUAAAUAACACUACACACUGGAGUGAUGUCCAAGAAAGAUCCACGGAAGUAGUAAUGAUUGAUACGAUAGAGUAUGACCUCAAUGACUAUAACCAAAAGAUCUGCCAUUGCCAUGGCUACCAGAUAGCCCAUCUCUGACUCACAUACACUUGCGGAAUUUUUGAAAAAAUACUGAGAUUGAUUAACUGAAUUCACAUAACACCACUGCUGUCAUGGUUGCGUUUGAAACCCUCUCUGGCACAAUAGCCUGCAUCACCAGAUAAUCAAUCAAUUACAACUGCACCACUGUCUCCCUGGAUGAUGUCCUUUCAUCGGCUAUGAAUCUUCGGCAAUUCCACCGAAAUAGUUCGAGAGGGAGCAGCUGAUGCAGUAUCUGGGUACAGACAAUGAUCGGGAAAUCUUGCUUCCUGCUGUUAUUUCUGCAAGAAAGAGCGGGAGCAGCAGAGGAAGUGACGGCAAGCAGAGG